ACCACUGCGACUCCUCGAGGCAGAGCCUCCGCGCAUUCUUCUAAUCGGCCUUCGUUAGUUCUCCGUGGCCAUCGUGCCCACGGAUUGUCGCAAUUGUAUUCGCAAUCAGUCCAAUCCCCUCAUCUCACCGAUCCCACUACUUACUUCUUCUCGCACUGAUUUUACACUCUUGUGCAUUCUGGUUUUACCUCAAUCUGUGUUAUCGUUGAAGCUCGUGAGGUUUGGGUUGAAGCCUGCGUGCGGUGUAGUACGUCUCGUUGAUUAAUUUCUGGAGUUUUUGGAGUUGGGUUUCCUGUUUAGAGCGACAUGGGUGGGAAAUUCUGAUGUUGGUUGAUAAGAUGGAGUAUCAGGGGCAGCAAGGGGGUGGAGAAGUCCGGUUCAACACCUCCCACGAAUUGCUCCCCAGCACUGCCGUGGCGAAUGAUAAGAUGCUGCAGCACUACCAACAGCAGUUUGGGCAGCAGCAGUUCGAUGCCAGGAGCGAUGUCAGACUCCCGAAUCAAAAGUUUCAGUCAAAUCCGAGCUCGUGUGGGGGCGUGGGCAGUGGGGAUGGCUGCGCAGCAACAUCUUCCAAUUCCGUCGUUUGUGGAGAGAGCAUUUCCUCAAGAAGAAAGAGGAAUUGUCGAAGCUGCAACUGUAGCUGCAGUGGAGCAGACCAUGAAGUAGUACGUCCACGAUUUGAUGCGGGUGAUGGAGUCAAUGACUGGGCGCAUUGGUCAGCUGGAGUCUUCGACUUGGCGUUUGGAGCAGAAGGUAUUGGAAUUAAAAGGCGGAUCUGAAAAGAGUCGAGAGAUUUCAGGGGACAAGAUUCUGUUCGUCGAGACUAUGCUCUCUGAGGUACAACGUGGUGUGCAGGGUCUUCGCAAUAAACAGGAGGUUAUGGAAGCUCCAUCUAAUAUAGAAUAGCGUCAAUUUGGCGGGGAGGGGAUUUCUUUGUCUUCAGGCCACAGCCAUAUGCCUUUACAGCCACCACCGGCACAGUCUCCGAGAGCAUCACAGCUACCUGAGACGCCAUCCUAUCAAAUGGGUCAACUCUCUCAUCCGCCACACCACUCUCACCACCUACCGGGCCAUCCUCCACCCCCAUACAUGGUGCCAGCACAGAUGAUAGGUCUUCCUUCUUCACCACCACCACCUCCUCCUGCUGUUGAGCCUCAUUACUAGACUUCUCAACAGCGUCCCCCUUCCCCUCAGCAAUCCUACUACGGUUCAUUCCCUCAUCCUCCUGCUGAGCUUCCAUCAUAUGGUGCAACGAUACCAGGUCCAUUCAAGGGACAAUCUGGGGGCUUUGGUCAGGAGGUUCCACCACCACCUUAUGGUAGCCAGUCGCACCAGUCGCCUCUGGGUGUACCUGAUGGGUCACAAAUGUAUAAUGAUCAGUCGGCUGUUAUGCCUCCUUUACAAUUUCAAGGUCGCCCUGGAGUUCUCGCUUAUGAGCAGUUGAUGGGGCCAUCGCCUGGCUACUCCAAUCUGGAGUAUGGAAUUGGACAGCAAACCCCGUCAGCUCCAAGCAGCGGAGCGGGAGGCUAUCGUAGGUUGCCUACUGCUCAGCCUGUAAACCAUGCCAUGCAACAGCGAGAAAGCGGGAAGGAGCGCCAACGCCCUCUGGUGCUACUCCUGUGCCCACGAACCGGAUGUCCAUUGAUGAAGUUAUUGACAGGGCUGCAUUGAUGGGAUUCUCUAAGGACCAAGUGUGGGCUGUUGCGCGGGAAUUCUCAGAGAAUUCUCAGGCUGUAGAUUUCAACAUUGUGCUCGACAAGUUGGUGAAUGGGGAAAGCUGCAGCGCAGCCUCCCAAAGGUUGGUUUCAAAGGGGUUGAAAUUCGGAGCCGCUCUUCGGACACUGCUCGUUUGUUUCCAAUUAGUUCAUUGUAAGGACAACUAGUGGACCAGUUGCAGUGGGCUUGUAGCAUGAGACCUCGGUUUUGUUGUGGCUAUUUAAGUUUAUAUUUGGUGUAUAUGUGUACAUACGUAAGAGAUACUAGAUGCUCCUGUCUUACAUGCCUUGGUUAAACCAUUCUUCGCCUGGUUGAUUGGUUGCUUUUCCAAGCUAUCGUACAUAGUUCUCUGAAAACUGCUGGUUCUCAUUUUGUUUUUCACACCAAGGAAAUCCUGCAGCUUCUAGUCUUUUGAUUGGAUCGUAUUAGUAGCCAUCAAGGAAACCAUAUGCCUUGCAUCAAUUCUGUGAAUCAGAAAUAUUCUUCAUGGACAUUGUUCUUGACUCA